rnacentral:pre_miRNA from 1 species
AGUAGAAUUGCUGGGUCAUAUGGUGUCUCUAUCUUUAACAUUUUGAGGAACUGCUGAACUGUUUUCCAAAGUGACUGCACCAUUUUACAUUCCCAUUAGCAAU